CCGACCAGGUCGGCGAGGCCCUUGUCGAACUCGUGGUUGCCGACCGCGGAGACGGCCAGGCCACCGGCGUUCAGGGCGUCGAUGGUCGGG
rnacentral:tRNA from 2 species